rnacentral:rRNA from 1 species
AUUGAACGCCGGCGGCAUGCCUUACACAUGCAAGUCGAACGGUAACAGGUCUCGGAUGCUGACGAGUGGCGAACGGGUGAGUAAUACAUCGGAACGUGCCUAGUAGUGGGGGAUAACUACUCGAAAGAGUGGCUAAUACCGCAUGAGAUCUACGGAUGAAAGCAGGGGAUCGCAAGACCUUGUGCUACUAGAGCGGCCGAUGGCAGAUUAGGUAGUUGGUGGGAUAAAAGCUUACCAAGCCGACGAUCUGUAGCUGGUCUGAGAGGACGAUCAGCCACACUGGGACUGAGACACGGCCCAGACUCCUACGGGAGGCAGCAGUGGGGAAUUUUGGACAAUGGGCGAAAGCCUGAUCCAGCAAUGCCGCGUGCAGGAUGAAGGCCUUCGGGUUGUAAACUGCUUUUGUACGGAACGAAAAGCCCCGGGUUAAUACCCUGGGGUCAUGACGGUACCGUAAGAAUAAGCACCGGCUAACUACGUGCCAGCAGCCGCGGUAA